rnacentral:lncRNA from 1 species
GCCACAAUCGGUGAAGCUGAGCAUGUAAUUGAAACAUUUCUCCGGUGAAGAAAGGUGCGACGGAAGGCGGUGGUGGUGUAGGUACGGCCGGCGGCGGUGAUGGACCUGAACGGCGGCGAUGUGAUAGGGUUUGAAGGUGUUGAUACAUAUUAAUGAAUUUAUUUUUCUGGGAUGGCAAGAGGGAAUACCUCUGUCCCUGCUAUGGAAAUGACCAAGUGGUUCGACACCAACUAAUUUC